rnacentral:misc_RNA from 1 species
CAUUCUGCAAUUCUUGUGGCUCCAACACCAGCAGCAAGCAUAAGAGCUGUCUCAUGAUUGUUAUCAAGUACUUGUAAGUCUUCUUCUGACAACAACUCCACCAACUCCUCCACCAUCUUCAACUUUCCAGUUAAAGUGGCAAGAUGAAGUGCUGUCCUACCAGAAUCUGUAAGCUUUUUGUUUACUGCAUUUGGAUGAAAGUGAAGAAAGUCUCUCACAGCAUUUAAAUCACCGCUCUCUAUAGCUUUGUGUAAAGGACGAAAUUGAACAUAAACAUGACCCUCUGUCCCUUGAUUGACGGCUGCUUGCUGCUGCAAUUCCUCUUUCACUGGUGGCAGUUCUACUUCUUGUGGCUGUAUUUGAUCUCCUGGUGACUGUACCUCAUGCAUUUUAGCCAAAGUAUCCCAACAAAUCCUUGCUGAACCGAUUUCCUUAAUCUGGGAAAGUAUAUGCGACAUGCAUGAUAUUUGAAUAGCAUGUAAAGCUGCAGCAUUCUUCUUUAUCCAAGCCUUAUAUUCAGCUUCAGCCUCUUCUGGACUAGGAGCUUCAGUAGUUGCUUCAACGAUGUCCCAGAGGUCAUUAGCCAAUAAAUAAUUCUUCAUACAAACACUCCAAUUUGCAUAGUUCAAUCCGUCUAGUAAUUCAGGAACUGUAUUUGCUGCCAUCGUGAUCAAUCUAUCAAUUAUUUGAAAUGAUGACAAGUGAUCUUACUAUGUGCAACUCCAAUUGAGUGAUUAACCAUUUAUACAAAAUAGAAAGAGAAGGAAAAUAAAAUAAGCAAAAUGGUUUUAGCAUGGGAUCCCAAAUUCGUCUUUUCACUUUUGCUUUUUUGUAUGGCAC